GAUGAACGCUGGCGGCGUGCUUAACACAUGCAAGUCGAACGGUGAAGGCGGAGCUUGCUCUGCUGGAUCAGUGGCGAACGGGUGAGUAACACGUGAGCAAUCUGCCCCUGACUCUGGGAUAAGCGCUGGAAACGGCGUCUAAUACUGGAUACGAGCUGCGAAGGCAUCUUCAGCAGCUGGAAAGAAUUUCGGUCAGGAAUGAGCUCGCGGCCUAUCAGCUUGUUGGUGAGGUAAUGGCUCACCAAGGCGUCGACGGGUAGCCGGCCUGAGAGGGUGACCUGCCACACUGGGACUGAGACACGGCCCAGACUCCUACGGGAGGCAGCAGUGGGGAAUAUUGCACAAUGGGCGAAAGCCUGAUGCAGCAACGCCGCGUGAGGGACGACGGCCUUCGGGUUGUAAACCUCUUUUAGCAGGGAAGAAGCGAAAGUGACGGUACCUGCAGAAAAAGCGCCGGCUAACUACGUG
rnacentral:rRNA from 1 species